rnacentral:rRNA from 1 species
AGAGUUUGAUCCUGGCUCAGGAUGAACGCUGGCGGCGUGCUUAACACAUGCAAGUCGAACGAACCUUCGGGUUAGUGGCGGACGGGUGAGUAACGCGUGAGAAUCUGCCCUCAGGAGGGGGAUAACGGCUGGAAACGGCCGCUAAUACCCCAUAUGCCGAGAGGUGAAAUGAAUUUCGCCUGAGGAUGAGCUCGCGUCUGAUUAGCUAGUUGGUGGGGUAAGAGCCUACCAAGGCAUCGAUCAGUAGCUGGUCUGAGAGGAUGAUCAGCCACACUGGGACUGAGACACGGCCCAGACUCCUACGGGAGGCAGCAGUGGGGAAUUUUCCGCAAUGGGCGAAAGCCUGACGGAGCAACGCCGCGUGAGGGAUGAAGGCCUCUGGGCUGUAAACCUCUUUUAUCAAGGAAGAAGAUCUGACGGUACUUGAUGAAUAAGCCACGGCUAAUUCCGUGCCAGCAGCCGCGGUAAUACGGGAGUGGCAAGCGUUAUCCGGAAUUAUUGGGCGUAAAGCGUCCGCAGGCGGCCUGAUAAGUCUGUUGUCAAAGCGUGGAGCUUAACUCCAUUUCGGCAAUGGAAACUGUGAGGCUUGAGUGUGGUAGGGGCAGAGGGAAUUCCCGGUGUAGCGGUGAAAUGCGUAGAUAUCGGGAAGAACACCAGUGGCGAAGGCGCUCUGCUGGGCCAUAACUGACGCUCAUGGACGAAGGCCAGGGGAGCGAAAGGGAUUAGAUACCCCUGUAGUCCUGGCCGUAAACGAUGAACACUAGGUGUCGGGGGAAUCGACCCCCUCGGUGUCGUAGCCAACGCGUUAAGUGUUCCGCCUGGGGAGUACGCACGCAAGUGUGAAACUCAAAGGAAUUGACGGGGGCCCGCACAAGCGGUGGAGUAUGUGGUUUAAUUCGAUGCAACGCGAAGAACCUUACCAGGGUUUGACAUCCUGCGAAUCCCUUGGAAACUUGGGAGUGCCUUCGGGAGCGCAGAGACAGGUGGUGCAUGGCUGUCGUCAGCUCGUGUCGUGAGAUGUUGGGUUAAGUCCCGCAACGAGCGCAACCCACGUCUUUAGUUGCCAGCAUUGAGUUGGGCACUCUAGAGAGACCGCCGGUGAUAAACCGGAGGAAGGUGUGGAUGACGUCAAGUCAUCAUGCCCCUUACAUCCUGGGCUACACACGUACUACAAUGCUACGGACAAAGGGCAGCAAACUCGCGAGAGCUAGCAAAUCCCAUAAACCGUGGCUCAGUUCAGAUCGUAGGCUGCAACUCGCCUACGUGAAGGAGGAAUCGCUAGUAAUCGCAGGUCAGCAUACUGCGGUGAAUACGUUCCCGGGCCUUGUACACACCGCCCGUCACACCAUGGAAGUUGGCCACGCCCGAAGCCGUUACUCCAACCCUUGUGGAGGAGGACGUCGAAGGUGGGGCUGAUGACUGGGGUGAAGUCGUAACAAGGUA